CGGGUCGCCAUAGCAACUAAAUCUGGCUCUAAUUCAGGCCUGGGCCCACUGGGGCUCUCCCUCCAGGUGUUUUGGACUUCAACUCCCACAGUUCCUAACACCUGGAGGGAGAGCCCCAGUGGGCCCACGUCUGCUUUCGAGACAUUGAAAUGUUCUCCAGAAAGGGCAGACACAUCCAUGACUCCUUCACUGCAACUGUCUUGAUUCAUGCCCAUUCAUUUAUCAAUUAUUUAUUUAAUGUAUUUGUAUACCGCUGGCAAAGUGUGUUAAAGCACUGACCUGCUGAACUUGCAGACUGAAAGGUGCCAGGUUCAAAUCCCGGGAGCGGAGUGAGCGCCCGCUGUUGCUUCAGCUUCUGCCAACCUAGCAGUUCGAAAACAUGCCAAUGUCAAGGGGGGGCACUGAUCCAAUCUCAUUGGGGAUAGAGUUCCAGAGCCGAGGAGCCACCACUGAGGAGGCCCUGUCUUAUCUCCACCAACUGUACUUGCAAAGGAGGUGGAACCAAGAGCAGGGCCUCUCCAGAAGAUCUUAACCUCUGUGGUGGUUCAUAGAGGGAGAUAUAUUCAGAAGGUAAGCUGGACUGGGACAGUUUGGGGCUUUAUGGGCUAAAGCCCAGCGUUGUGCUCAGUAGCAAACUGGCAACCAGUGGAGCUGACAUAACAGGGGAGUUGUAUGCAGAGGUGGUCCAACCAUAAGGCGAAAUAGGCAUUUGCCUGUGGCGCCAUCGUCCCGGGGGCACCAUCGUCCUGGGAGGAGGGCACCACUCUCCACCUCCUUCUCUUUCGGGCCUUCCAGCGGCCGCACUGGGCCUUCCGGCCAGCGCAGACCCACCUUCGCACCACGCAAGCCCACCUUUGGGGCCUUCAGAGAUUGUGAGGUCUGUAGGAACUUGGAAGCUAGGUAUGUGGGGUUUAUAUAUCUGUAGAAGGUCCAGGGUGGGAGAAAGAACUUUUCUUUGAAGCAGGUGUGAAUGUUGUAAUUAAUCACCUUGAUUAGCAUUUAAUGGCCCUGUGGCUUCAAGGCCUGGCUUCUUCUUGCCUGGGAGAAUCUUUUUUUGGGAGGAGUUAGCUGUCCCUGAUUGUUUACUGUCUGGAUUUCUUCUGUUUUCAGAGUGUUGUUCUUUAUUUAUUGUCCUGAUUUUAGAGGGGUUUUUUUAAUACUGAGGGCUAUCUGGGUUAUCUAAGUCCACACUGCCCUAUAUCCCUGUUCAAUGUUUAGUGCUAAAUUUGCAAAUAUAGUAAUUCCUACAUAACAUUACCAUGUAUUGAACUGCGUUUUCUAUUGAUUUGUUGUAAAACAUGAUGUUUUGGGGCUUAAUUUUUAAAAUCAUAAUGUAAUUUGAUGUUUUAUAGGCUUUUCCUUUAUACUUCCUUAUUGUCCAACAUUUUCGCUUAUCCAACGCUUUUAUUUUUCAGUGAUUGGUUUGGGGGCGCCAAAAUUCUGUUCGCCUACACUUGAAAAAUACCUAGGGCCGGCUCUGGUUGUAUGCUCCAUGUACUCCACUCCAGUAAGGAGCUUGGCUGCUGCCUGUUGGUUCACUUGAAGCUUCCAAAUAGUCUUCAACAGUAGUCCCACAUAGAGCGUGUUGCAGUAAUCUAUUCAAGAUGUAACAAGAGUGUGGACCACAAUGGCCAGGUCUGGCUUCUCAAGGUACAGGCGCAACUGGCGUACAAGUUUUAAUUGUGUAAAAGUUCCCCUGGCCAACGCUGAAACCUGGGGUUCCAGGCUCAGCAAUGAGUCCAACAUCACUCCCAAGCUGUGAACCUGCGCCUUCAGAGGGAGUGUAAACCCAUCCAGGACAGGCUGUAAUCCUAUACCCUGUUCAUCCUUCCACCUGACCAGGAGUACUUAUGUCUUGCCUACAUUCAAAUUCAAUUUGUUCGCCCUCAUGCGCACUGUCACAGCUGCCAAGCAUUGGGUCAGGACCUGAACAGCCUCCUUAGUAGCAGGUGGAAAGGAGUGAUAGAGUUUAUCCGCUGGCACUCAGGGCCCUUCCACACAGCGGAAUAAAAUCCCACAUUUUCUUCUUUGAACUAGGAUAUAUGGCAGUGUGGACUCAGAAAACUUAGUACAAAGAAAAUAUUGUGGAUUAUCUGCCUUUAUAUUCUGGGUUAUAUGGCUGUGUGGAAGGACCCAGAGUCUGACCUAUCUUUGAACAAUGAAGUGAAGUAUGCUUCAAGGAGACUUACUUGAAAUGAGACUUGUUAAGUCUUUCAACAUGUCACUGCACUCCUUGUUGGCUUUUGCCAUGUCAAAUCAAAAUGGCCGCCCACCAGGAAAUUUGUUGAGACUCAACAAAUCUAUUAAUCAUUUGGACCUUGGCGGGAGAUUCAAAACUGGCUGGCUGGGAGCCCCAAAGGCUUGCCAGAAGACUUGUGGCAGCUGCCAGCUCUAGAAGAUACAUUGUUUCCAAAUCCCUCUUUAUGAAUUACAAAAUAACUCCUUAAUAAGACACCUUUAUUAUCUCCUCCUUGUCUUUCUAUUGACUUUCAUGGCCUGCCCCAAUUACUGUGUGGUCCCUCAGAGAAGGGAGGGUUUCUCUCCCUUCUCUUCCCAUUACCACUGCCCCCCCCCCCCCCCCCCCGUAUGCUCCCCAAUCCUUGGUCUACCUCCAUACCCAGAAACCCCGGCAUCCAGAACUAAGUGCCCCUGGUAUCUGCGGAUAAGACAAUGCCAGUAUCACUUAUGUAUUCUUUAAUAUUUUAUGUUUUAUUAUUUUAUAAAAUGCUUUUGGAGCCACAAAGCCGCCACCACGACCUUGGUGACCUUUCACCGGCACUCCCUUCCCUGGAAUUCCCCCUGUGUCUUCUUGGCCUUCACCUCAACAAAGGACCCAAGCACCCAUCAUCUUUGGAAUCAAUCCAUUUAUGUUGAUUCCCAUUUGAACUGGCUGUACAGAGGAUGAUCGGACCCUGAAUUGGGCUCAUUAUCAUCUGGCACCCUUCCUGGAGUUUGGAAGGUCUUGCCACUGCUUUUCUGAUUACCCUUUACCCCUUUCCCAGGAAUGGAUUUCUUAAUCCCAUCACUCUGGACAGCAUGUUGCAAGGUCAACAAUGGACAUAGGCACAGUGGGCACCAGACCCACCUGAUGGGUCAUUCACUAGACAAUCACUACAACAAUAAUUCUCAGGGACCUGAUGAUCCUGCUUUGUUAGUUUCGAGGUUGAGACACUGUAGCCCAUUCAUAAAACUAUAUUGUCCUUUGUUUUUCCUGAUCAUCUUGCCCCCUGCCUGUCUUUGGAGAAUCAUAAUCGGCAUCGGAAGUGGGGAAAGCUCUCUGAUUGGCUGCCGGGUGCCGCAGCCCCUCCAUGUGGAGGGAAUCCUCCCAGCUUCUUGUGACAUCAGAGUCAGCUUCACCAAUCAGUGCAAGGCUGGCCCCAGCUGGGCAUGAGUGCGAAAGACAAAAGACUGAACUGUGUAAAAUGUGUGUUUUAUCUGUACCAUGGCACGUCAGCUUCUUUGAGUGGCUUACCGCUGGCUGUAAUCCUUUCUGGCUGGAUCAAAUAAAUUGCCUCCAUGGCUUUUGCUUCAAGUGGUGAGACUUCUUUGAUUGGGGAACAUUGGGUUUUAGCUUUAGGUCUUGCAAGGCACAAACCCUGCAGCCUGGUACUAGCUCUUGUUAUUCGCGCACUGCAUCUCGCUAUCCGUGGUCCAGAUCUCACUAGCCAUGAACUGCCCUAAAUUGCUCAAUAACAUAUAUAUAUGUGUGUGUGUGUAUGUACAUACAUGAAUAAACUUAUUUAAUAAAAUAUAACCAGAUAGGCCCAAAGACAUUCACCUCCUUGCUGAAAGAUUUCCUGGACAAGAAGAAUGGGCAAACCCUCUGGGCCUUUUCACAAGCACACUAACCCUAAUCUCUGCAUGUGUAUGCAGAGAGAGGUGGUUUCCUGUCAGCCCAGAUAGACCCUAUGUGGUUCACUUGAAACUGAGAGAUUGCUGUCCACAAAAAUAGAGGCUUAGAGUAUGUGCAUGUGUUAAACCUCUUUAUUAGCAGCCAAGCCUGAUUGCCCAAGAUCAGCACCUUUGUUCCUUGAGUCUUACACCCUUGUUUAACGCUCCGAUCUUUGUUUGACACAGAACUUUGAGCUUAUCAGAGGCCCAUCUCCAUGUCUUUAUCAUUUGUUUUCCCCAGAGAGUGCUCUCCCAGCUGAUUGGUCCUUCACUCUGAUCAAUCCCCAGCUACCAUUCCCCCUCCCAGCCAAUCCUGGCAUGGAUCCUAGCCAGCCUCUUUUCUGGCCAACCAGAAGAGGGACGGGAAGACUGAAUACCUGUAUCAGAACUGUAUAAGGUAUCUUGUAUUUCGCCGUAUGUUUAUUAUGAAGCAAAUUGCUGUACUUGCAUCCCUUUUGGCCAAAUUGAAUAAACCUCUAUGACUUGUCUUCAA